GCCAGGCUUUUUUUGUCCUUAAUUAAUCUGUCAAAAUGGCAGGAACCUGCCACAAACGGUCACCUUGCAUUACACGCUUUCACAAAAUAUUCUUCAAUAAGCUGAAUACAAAAUACGCAAUGUAUUUGAAUCGCGCAAACGCACACGUAUAUUAUUUUACGCGUGCCGAUUUUACUCGCUCAUAUUUAUGGGAAUUCAAAUGUUUGAAAUGUAUGCGAUUCACGCAUACAUACACAUUACUACCACAUGCAAACACUGUCGAUAAUAUGAGCCGGGUAAAGCCGAUCUGUGAUAGCUUACAAUCUUUAUUAUAAGAAUAUUAUUUCGUUUCAUUUGUCCGUUGCAAUAUAAUGUUGUAAGUUAAAUUUGACCCACUUGUCGGUUUCCAAUUAAGCUGAAAUUUUGCAUAAAUGUGUAAAUCGCAUGACAGUGGAAUAUUAUGAUGAUGUAUGACGUAGAACUGAUCUGAUGAUAGAGGUGGAAGGUGGCCAUAGGAACUCAGUAAUAAAGCGAUGUACUUCCAUCGAGUUUGGACUCGUUUCAUUUGUCUUGAUGAGUAUUUUGUAUUCAGACAGUUUCCAAGGUCUCAUGAUGGAGCUGGAGGGUGGCCAUGGGAUCUCUGUAAUAAAGCAACGUAAUUCCGUCGAGUUUGGGCUCGUUUCAUUUGUCUUGAUGAGUACUUUGUCUUCAGACAGUUUCCAGGGUCUGACGAUGGAGCUGGAAGUCGGCUAUAGGAUCUUCGUAAUAAAACAAAGUAAUUCCAUCAAGUUUGGGCUCGUUUGAUUCGUCUUGAUGAGAACUUUUAUUCAUUGAACUUCAAAGAAAAUGGAAGAGCAUUAAGGACGCUUAUAAAAGAGACAAGGCGAAGAACAAUAACUGUUCCAGUGGAUCUGGAGCUAAACCUAGAAGACCCUACAUAUAUUCCAAUUUGCUAACUUUUUUAGACCCGCUUUACGAAAUAAGAUCUCCAAGUCAAAAUGAUGAUGCAGCACUGGGGAAUAACCAAGACUGUGAUUUUCAAAAACCACAUUCACCAAAGAAGUCUAAAAAGACUCCAAAACAUGAAGACCCACAAGACAAAUUGUAUGAAGCACUGACAGCAAAUCUCAAACAGUCUAAGGAAGCGAAUAAUACAAUUUUAUCUGAAAAUCCCGACAUACUGUUCUUAAUUUCGUUAGCUAAAGAUUUUUCUGCUAUCAAAGAGGAAUUUAAGUUAGAGGCCAAAGCUGAUAUGAUAAAUUUAAUUCGUAAAUAUAAAAAUAUGGGACACUCAUCGAGAAUAUUGAAUGAAAAUAGAUACCAAGGUGCAUUUCAAUAUGAACAUCAGUAUGGAUACCAGUCUGGAUAUCAGUCUGAAUCUGGAUAUCAGUCUGAAUUUCAACCACAAUAUCCAAGUAAUCAAUCAGCGCCAAGAAACGAAUCUGUCAGUUCACUUCAAAAUUUAGAUAGCAAUGAAUCGGUUACAAAUGACUCCGAUAUCAUAUCUGACAUGUAUGAUGAUAUUGAAUAAAUCUUUUUCUCUUAUUCAUAAUCUAAGUGCACUUAUAACAUUUUACGAUUGAUUUAAAAAUGUAACAGAACAAUAAAUAAAUAAAUAAAUA